GCGGAUGUGGCGAAAUUGGCAGACGCGCUAGCUUCAGGUGCUAGUGGUAGUGAUACCGUGUGGGUUCAAGUCCCGUCAUCCGCACCA
rnacentral:tRNA from 1 species